rnacentral:rRNA from 1 species
UACAGGGGGUGCAAACGUUGCUCGGAAUCAUUGGGCGUAAAGCGCACGUAGGCGGUCUGUUAUGUCGGAUGUGAAAGCCCUUGGCUUAACUGAGGAAGUGCAUCCGAAACUGGCAGGCUAGAGUACUAAAGAGGGUCGCGGAGUUCCCGGUGUAGAGGUGAAAUUCGUAGAUAUCGGAAGGAACACCGGUGGCGAAGGCGGCGACCUGGGUAGAUACUGACGCUGAGGUGCGAAAGCGUGGGAGCAACAGG